rnacentral:rRNA from 1 species
GAUGAACGCUGGCGGCGUGCCUAACACAUGCAAGUCGAACGGAGUUUACUCGCUGAUGAAGCUUCGGCAGAAUCUUGAGUAAACUUAGUGGCGGACGGGUGAGUAACGCGUGGGCAACCUGCCUCAUACUGGGGGAUAGCAGUUGGAAACGACUGAUAAUACCGCAUAAGCGCACAGCAUCGCAUGAUGCAGUGUGAAAAACUCCGGUGGUAUGAGAUGGGCCCGCGUCAGAUUAGCUAGUUGGUAAGGUAACGGCUUACCAAGGCGACGAUCUGUAGCCGGACUGAGAGGUCGGACGGCCACAUUGGGACUGAGACACGGCCCAAACUCCUACGGGAGGCAGCAGUGGGGGAUAUUGCACAAUGGAGGAAACUCUGAUGCAGCGACGCCGCGUGAGUGAAGAAGUAUUUCGGUAUGUAAAGCUCUAUCAGCAGGGAAGAAAGGCUCGUAAGAGAGAUGACG